rnacentral:pre_miRNA from 1 species
GAAGACUCAAUUCUUAUGUUUUUGUGUCUAAUGUUUGACUGUCCGUCUUAUAUGAAAUUUUUUUGUGAUUAGUAUUUUCAUUACUGUUAGAUGAUAAACCAUAAAUAAUACUUUAUGCAUGACUUAUCUUUUUAAAUUUUUUCAUAAUUUUUUCAAAUAAAACAGACGGUCAAACGCUAGACACGAAAACCCAGAAAUUAAG